AACGAACGCUGGCGGCGGGCUUAACACAUGCAAGUCGAACGCACCGCAAGGGGAGUGGCAGACGGGUGAGUAACGCGUGGGAACAUACACUUUUCUACGGAAUAGCCCUGGGAAACUGGAAUUAUUACGGAAUACGCCCUACGGGGGAAAGAUUUAUCGGGGAAGGAUUGGCCCGCGUGGGAUUAGCUAGUUGGUGGGGUAAAGGCCUACCAAGGCGACGAUCCAUAGCUGGUCUGAGAGGAUGAUCAGCCACAUUGGGACUGAGACACGGCCCAAACUCCUACGGGAGGCAGCAGUGGGGAAUAUUGGACAAUGGGCGCAAGCCUGAUCAAGCCAUGCCGCGUGAGUGAUGAAGGCCUUAGGGUUGUAAAGCUCUUUCACCGAUGAAGAUAAUGACGGUAGUCGGAGAAGAAGCCCCGGCUAACUUCGUG
rnacentral:rRNA from 1 species